UACGGGGGGGGCAAGCGUUGUUCGGAAUUACUGGGCGUAAAGGGCGCGUAGGCGGCUCACUAAGUCGGUUGUGAAAACUCUGGGCUCAACCCAGAGCCUGCAUCCGAAACUGGUGGGCUAGAGUACUGGAGGGGAAAGCGGAAUUCCUGGUGUAGCGGUGAAAUGCGUAGAUAUCAGGAGGAACACCGGUGGCGAAGGCGGCUUUCUGGACAGUAACUGACGCUGAGGCGCGAAAGCUAGGGGAGCAAACAGG
rnacentral:rRNA from 1 species